CAUUUGUUUUUUAAUUGAAGACUUGUAUGAAUGGCUGAACGAGAAAAUAACUGUCUCUUUAAAAAUCUUGAAUUUUACCUUUAAGUGAAAAGGCUUAAAUAAAUUUAGGGGACGAUAAGACCCUAUAAAUCUUUAUAUUAUUUUUCUUUAAAUUUCAAAUUAUAUAUUAAAAGAAAUAAAAGAAAAAAAUAUUAUAUUGGGGAGAUAAGAAUAUAAUUUUUAACUGUUUUAAAAAUAAAACAAUAAUUUUUGAUUAAAAAAAUUGAUCCUUUUUAAAGAUUUGAAGAUUAAGUUACUUUAGGGAUAACAGCGUAAUUUUUUUUGAGAGUUCUUAUCGAAAAAAAAGUUUGCGACCUCGAUGUUGAAUUAAAAUAUCCUUAUAAGUGCAGAAGCUAUAAAGGAAA
rnacentral:rRNA from 1 species